GGCCCAGAUUCCUACGGGAGGCAGCAGUGGGGAAUAUUGCACAAUGGGCGCAAGCCUGAUGCAGCAACGCCGCGUGAGGGACGACGGCCUUCGGGUUGUAAACCNCUUUUAGCAGGGAAGAAGCGAAAGUGACGGUACCUGCAGAAAAAGCGCCGGCUAACUACGUGCCAGCAGCCGCGGUAAUACGUAGGGCGCAAGCGUUAUCCGGAAUUAUUGGGCGUAAAGAGCUCGUAGGCGGUUUGUCGCGUCUGCUGUGAAAUCCCGAGGCUCAACCUCGGGUCUGCAGUGGGUACGGGCAGACUAGAGUGCGGUAGGGGAGAUUGGAAUUCCUGGUGUAGCGGUGGAAUGCGCAGAUAUCAGGAGGAACACCGAUGGCGAAGGCAGAUCUCUGGGCCGUAACUGACGCUGAGGAGCGAAAGGGUGGGGAGCAAACAGGCUUAGAUACCCUGGUAGUCCACCCCGUAAACGUUGGGAACUAGUUGUGGGGUCCAUUCCACGGAUUCCGUGACGCAGCUAACGCAUUAAGUUCCCCGCCUGGGGAGUACGGCCGCAAGGCUAAAACUCAAAGGAAUUGACGGGGACCCGCACAAGCGGCGGAGCAUGCGGAUUAAUUCGAUGCAACGCGAAGAACCUUACCAAGGCUUGACAUAUACGAGAACGGGCCAGAAAUGGUCAACUCUUUGGACACUCGUAAACAGGUGGUGCAUGGUUGUCGUCAGCUCGUGUCGUGAGAUGUUGGGUUAAGUCCCGCAACGAGCGCAACCCUCGUUCUAUGUUGCCAGCACGUAAUGGUGGGAACUCAUGGGAUACUGCCGGGGUCAACUCGGAGGAAGGUGGGGAUGACGUCAAAUCAUCAUGCCCCUUAUGUCUUGGGCUUCACGCAUGCUACAAUGGCCGGUACAAAGGGCUGCAAUACCGUAAGGUGGAGCGAAUCCCAAAAAGCCGGUCCCAGUUCGGAUUGAGGUCUGCAACUCGACCUCAUGAAGUCGGAGUCGCUAGUAAUCGCAGAUCAGCAACGCUGCGGUGAAUACGUUCCCGGGUCUUGUACACACCGCCCGUCAAGUCAUGAAAGUCGGUAACACCUGAAGCCGGUGGCCCAACCCUUGUGGAGGGAGCC
rnacentral:rRNA from 1 species